rnacentral:rRNA from 1 species
UUAAGCGACUAAGCGUACACGGUGGAUGCCCUGGCAGUCAGAGGCGAUGAAGGACGUGCUAAUCUGCGAUAAGCGUCGGUAAGGUGAUAUGAACCGUUAUAACCGGCGAUUUCCGAAUGGGGAAACCCAGUGUGUUUCGACACACUAUCAUUAACUGAAUCCAUAGGUUAAUGAGGCGAACCGGGGGAACUGAAACAUCUAAGUACCCCGAGGAAAAGAAAUCAACCGAGAUUCCCCCAGUAGCGGCGAGCGAACGGGGAGCAGCCCAGAGCCUGAAUCAGUGUGUGUGUUAGUGGAAGCGUCUGGAAAGGCGCGCGAUACAGGGUGACAGCCCCGUACACAAAAAUGCACAUGCUGUGAGCUCGAUGAGUAGGGCGGGACACGUGGUAUCCUGUCUGAAUAUGGGGGGACCAUCCUCCAAGGCUAAAUACUCCUGACUGACCGAUAGUGAACCAGUACCGUGAGGGAAAGGCGAAAAGAACCCCGGCGAGGGGAGUGAAAAAGAACCUGAAACCGUGUACGUACAAGCAGUGGGAGCACAGAGCAAUCUGUGUGACUGCGUACCUUUUGUAUAAUGGGUCAGCGACUUAUAUUCUGUAGCAAGGUUAACCGAAUAGGGGAGCCGAAGGGAAACCGAGUCUUAACUGGGCGUUAAGUUGCAGGGUAUAGACCCGAAACCCGGUGAUCUAGCCAUGGGCAGGUUGAAGGUUGGGUAACACUAACUGGAGGACCGAACCGACUAAUGUUGAAAAAUUAGCGGAUGACUUGUGGCUGGGGGUGAAAGGCCAAUCAAACCGGGAGAUAGCUGGUUCUCCCCGAAAGCUAUUUAGGUAGCGCCUCGUGAAUUCAUCUCCGGGGGUAGAGCACUGUUUCGGCAAGGGGGUCAUCCCGACUUACCAACCCGAUGCAAACUGCGAAUACCGGAGAAUGUUAUCACGGGAGACACACGGCGGGUGCUAACGUCCGUCGUGAAGAGGGAAACAACCCAGACCGCCAGCUAAGGUCCCAAAGUCAUGGUUAAGUGGGAAACGAUGUGGGAAGGCCCAGACAGCCAGGAUGUUGGCUUAGAAGCAGCCAUCAUUUAAAGAAAGCGUAAUAGCUCACUGGUCGAGUCGGCCUGCGCGGAAGAUGUAACGGGGCUAAACCAUGCACCGAAGCUGCGGCAGCGACACUGUGUGUUGUUGGGUAGGGGAGCGUUCUGUAAGCCUGCGAAGGUGUGCUGUGAGGCAUGCUGGAGGUAUCAGAAGUGCGAAUGCUGACAUAAGUAACGAUAAAGCGGGUGAAAAGCCCGCUCGCCGGAAGACCAAGGGUUCCUGUCUAACGUUAAUCGGGGCAGGGUGAGUCGACCCCUAAGGCGAGGCCGAAAGGCGUAGUCGAUGGGAAACAGGUUAAUAUUCCUGUACUUGGUGUUACUGCGAAGGGGGGACGGAGAAGGCUAUGUUGGCCGGGCGACGGUUGUCCCGGUUUAAGCGUGUAGGCUGGUUUUCCAGGCAAAUCCGGAAAAUCAAGGCUGAGGCGUGAUGACGAGGCACUACGGUGCUGAAGCAACAAAUGCCCUGCUUCCAGGAAAAGCCUCUAAGCAUCAGGUAACAUCAAAUCGUACCCCAAACCGACACAGGUGGUCAGGUAGAGAAUACCAAGGCGCUUGAGAGAACUCGGGUGAAGGAACUAGGCAAAAUGGUGCCGUAACUUCGGGAGAAGGCACGCUGAUAUGUAGGUGAAGCGACUUGCUCGUGGAGCUGAAAUCAGUCGAAGAUACCAGCUGGCUGCAACUGUUUAUUAAAAACACAGCACUGUGCAAACACGAAAGUGGACGUAUACGGUGUGACGCCUGCCCGGUGCCGGAAGGUUAAUUGAUGGGGUUAGCGCAAGCGAAGCUCUUGAUCGAAGCCCCGGUAAACGGCGGCCGUAACUAUAACGGUCCUAAGGUAGCGAAAUUCCUUGUCGGGUAAGUUCCGACCUGCACGAAUGGCGUAAUGAUGGCCAGGCUGUCUCCACCCGAGACUCAGUGAAAUUGAACUCGCUGUGAAGAUGCAGUGUACCCGCGGCAAGACGGAAAGACCCCGUGAACCUUUACUAUAGCUUGACACUGAACAUUGAGCCUUGAUGUGUAGGAUAGGUGGGAGGCUUUGAAGUGUGGACGCCAGUCUGCAUGGAGCCGACCUUGAAAUACCACCCUUUAAUGUUUGAUGUUCUAACGUUGACCCGUAAUCCGGGUUGCGGACAGUGUCUGGUGGGUAGUUUGACUGGGGCGGUCUCCUCCUAAAGAGUAACGGAGGAGCACGAAGGUUGGCUAAUCCUGGUCGGACAUCAGGAGGUUAGUGCAAUGGCAUAAGCCAGCUUGACUGCGAGCGUGACGGCGCGAGCAGGUGCGAAAGCAGGUCAUAGUGAUCCGGUGGUUCUGAAUGGAAGGGCCAUCGCUCAACGGAUAAAAGGUACUCCGGGGAUAACAGGCUGAUACCGCCCAAGAGUUCAUAUCGACGGCGGUGUUUGGCACCUCGAUGUCGGCUCAUCACAUCCUGGGGCUGAAGUAGGUCCCAAGGGUAUGGCUGUUCGCCAUUUAAAGUGGUACGCGAGCUGGGUUUAGAACGUCGUGAGACAGUUCGGUCCCUAUCUGCCGUGGGCGCUGGAGAACUGAGGGGGGCUGCUCCUAGUACGAGAGGACCGGAGUGGACGCAUCACUGGUGUUCGGGUUGUCAUGCCAAUGGCACUGCCCGGUAGCUAAAUGCGGAAGAGAUAAGUGCUGAAAGCAUCUAAGCACGAAACUUGCCCCGAGAUGAGUUCUCCCUGACUCCUUGAGAGUCCUGAAGGAACGUUGAAGACGACGACGUUGAUAGGCCGGGUGUGUAAGCGCAGCGAUGCGUUGAGCUAACCGGUACUAAUGAACCGUGAGGCUUAACCUU